UACGUAGGGUGCAAACGUUGUUCGGAAUCACUGGGCAUAAAGAGCGCGUAGGCGGUCUGACAAGUCCCCUGUGAAAGCCCCCGGCUUAACCGGGGAACUGCAUGGGAUACUGUUGGGCUAGAGUGCAGGAGGGGAGAGCGGAAUUCCUGGUGGAGCGGUGAAAUGCGUAGAUAUCAGGAGGAACGCCGGCGGCGAAAGCGGCGUUCUGGACUGCAACUGACACUGAGGCACGAAAGCCAGGGGAGCAAACGGG
rnacentral:rRNA from 1 species